rnacentral:rRNA from 1 species
AGCGAACGCUGGCGGCAGGCUUAACACAUGCAAGUCGAGCGGAGAUGAGGUGCUUGCACCUUAUCUUAGCGGCGGACGGGUGAGUAAUGCUUAGGAAUCUGCCUAUUAGUGGGGGACAACAUUCCGAAAGGAAUGCUAAUACCGCAUACGCCCUACGGGGGAAAGCAGGGGAUCUUCGGACCUUGCGCUAAUAGAUGAGCCUAAGUCGGAUUAGCUAGUUGGUGGGGUAAAGGCCUACCAAGGCGACGAUCUGUAGCGGGUCUGAGAGGAUGAUCCGCCACACUGGGACUGAGACACGGCCCAGACUCCUACGGGAGGCAGCAGUGGGGAAUAUUGGACAAUGGGCGGAAGCCUGAUCCAGCCAUGCCGCGUGUGUGAAGAAGGCCUUUUGGUUGUAAAGCACUUUAAGCGAGGAGGAGGCUACCUGGAUUAAUACUCUAGGAUAGUGGACGUUACUCGCAGAAUAAGCACCGGCUAACUCUGUGCCAGCCGCCGCGGUAAAAC